GGUGAUAUAGCUCAGUGGUAGAGCUCCUAUGCCAUCUUCAAAGCCCUGGUUCUAUCCCUAGCAUCACCA
rnacentral:tRNA from 1 species